rnacentral:misc_RNA from 1 species
GAUGAAGAACGUAGCGAAAUGCGAUACGUAAUGUGAAUUGCAGAAUUCAGUGAAUCAUCGAAUCUUUGAACGCAUAUUGCGCUCUCUGGUAUUCCGGAGAGCAUGCUUUUUUGAGUAUCAGUAAACACCUCAACUCCCUUUUCUUUUUUGAAAUUGGAGCUGGACUUGAGUGAUCCCAACGCUUUCUUCCAAGAAAGUGGCGGGUUGCUUGAAAUGCAGGUGCAGCUGAACUUUUCUCUGAGCUAUAAGCAUAUCUAUUUAGUCUGCCUAAAAAACAGAUUAUUACCUUUGCUGCAGCUAACAUAAAGGAGACUAGUUCUUGUGCUGACUGAUGCAGGAUUCACAGAGACAGCUUCGGCUGACUUUGUAAACUCGAUCUCAAAUCAAGUAAGACUACCCGCUGAACUUAAGCAUAUCAAUAAGCGAGGA